GAUGUCUUGUGUCUGCAGGUGUCCAGUGUGAGGUGCAGCUGGUGGAGUCUGCAGGAGACCUGGUGAAGCCUGGGGGGUCUCAGAGACUAUCCUGUGAAGCCUCUGGAUUCAGCUUCAGUAGCUAUGGCAUGGCCUGGGUCCGCCAGGCUCCAGGGAAAGGGCUGCAGGGGGUUGCAAGUAUUAGCACUCGUGGUGGAAGCACAAGCUACGCAGACUCCGUGAAGGGCCAAUUCACCAUCUCCAGAGACAAUGGCAAGAACACGCUGUACCUGCAGAUGAACAGCCUGAGAGCCGACGACACGGCCGUGUAUUACUGUGCAAAGGACACAGUGAGGGGACAUCAGUGUGAGCCCAGACACAAACCUCACUGUAGAAGGGGAUCUGGACCAGCAGGGGGUGCACACUAGUCACCAGUUCUGUCCUUAAGCCCCAGGAGCAGCUGCAGGUGUAGGUUGUGGGCAGGUUUCCUGUCAGGGUCUGG